rnacentral:rRNA from 1 species
UCUGGUUGAUCCUGGCGGAGGCCACUGCUAUCGGAGUUCGAUUAAGCCAUGCGAGUCGAGAGGUGCAAGACCUCGGCAUACUGCUCAGUAACACGUGGACAACCUACCCUACGGAGGGGGAUAACCCCGGGAAACUGGGGAUAAUACCCCAUAGACUAUGGAUGCUGGAAUGCUUUGUAGUUGAAAGGUCCGCCGCCGUAGGAUGGGUCUGCGGCCGAUUAGGUUGUUGUUGGGGUAACGGCCCAACAAGCCUGUAAUCGGUACGGGUUGUGGGAGCAAGAGCCCGGAGAUGGAUUCUGAGACACGAAUCCAGGCCCCACGGGGCGCAGCAGGCGCGAAAACUUUACAAUGCGGGAAACCGUGAUAAGGGAACUCCGAGUGCCCGUAAAAUCGGGCUGUCCAUCUGUUUAAAUAACAGGUGAAGAAAGGGCCGGGCAAGACCGGUGCCAGCCGCCGCGGUAAUACCGGCGGCUCGAGUGGUGGCCACUAUUACUGGGCUUAAAGCGUUCGUAGCUGGUCUGUUAAGUCUCUGGGGAAAUCUACUGGCUUAACCAAUAGGCGUCUCAGGGAUACUGGCAGACUAGGGACCGGGAGAGGUGAGAGGUACUCCAGGGGUAGGAGUGAAAUCCUGUAAUCCUUGGGGGACCACCUGUGGCGAAGGCGUCUCACCAGAACGGCUCCGACAGUGAGGGACGAAAGCUGGGGGAGCAAACCGGAUUAGAUACCCGGGUAGUCCCAGCCGUAAACGAUGCGCGUUAGGUGUAUCGGUGACCACGAGUCACCGAGGUGCCGAAGAGAAAUCGUGAAACGUGCCGCCUGGGAAGUACGGUCGCAAGGCUGAAACUUAAAGGAAUUGGCGGGGGAGCACCACAACAGGUGGAGCCUGCGGUUUAAUCGGACUCAACGCCGGAAAUCUCACCGGAUAAGACAGCUGGAUGAUAGUCGGGCUGAAGACUCUACUUGACUAGCUGAGAGGAGGUGCAUGGCCGUCGUCAGUUCGUACUGUGAAGCAUCCUGUUAAGUCAGGCAACGAGCGAGACCCA